rnacentral:misc_RNA from 1 species
AAAACCCUGAAAAUUCUCAGUUCAAAGAAAUACAAGAGCAAGAAGAACAAUGAAAUAAAGGGAAAGCAGACAGCGAGAGAGAGGGAGAGACAUCUUUUAACAGAGUAAAUGUUUGCUGCGAGGAACUUUAACAGGCACUGCUUUAGGACGCUCUCUUCUCUCUUAUCCAAAUCUUACAGAAAUGCCGUCUUAGUAAAGGAUGUAGGUCGAAAGCUCGCUUGUAUCAACCUGAUGCAACCAAAUAUUAUUUCUGAAGAUGGGUUUCCUUCAUUUUCCCUAUUGAAUCAUCCCUUCAAUACUGGGGGUUGCCGCGGCAUGUCUACUUCGAAAGGAAGGAGCAUGAGAAGCAGGGUGGAGAGGCGGAUGCAAAAAGAAUCUGGUAAAACAGUUAGAGAGAUUCGGAGAGCAAAAAAAUUGAAGAAGAAAUUGAUGACUGAUGAGGAGAGGCUCAUUUACAACCUUAAGAGAGCUAAGAAGAAAGUUGCAUUGCUCCUACAAAAGCUCAAGAAAUAUGAGUUACCAGAGCUGGCACCCCCUGUACAUGACCCUGAGCUGUUGACACCAGAGCAGCUUCAGGCAUAUAAGAAGAUUGGAUUCAAGAAUAAAAAUUAUGUUCCUGUCGGUGUUCGUGGAGUGUUUGGAGGUGUUGUCCAGAAUAUGCAUCUUCAUUGGAAGUUUCAUGAGACUGUGCAAGUAUGCUGUGACAACUUCCCAAAAGAAAAAAUAAAAGAAAUGGCCACCAUGCUAGCAAGACUGAGUGGAGGCAUUGUAAUAAACAUUCAUAAUGUGAAGACAAUUAUCAUGUUCCGUGGCAGAAAUUAUCGCCAACCAAAAAUUUUGAUACCUAUUAACACACUCACAAAAAGGAAGGUUAGUGAUCAUAUUUUUCUUUCUCUUGGUUUAUUUUAGCCUCUUUUUGAACGGAUUUUACAAAAUGGGAGAUUGCACUUUGCACUCUAUUGCAUGCUACCUCAUUGGCAUUGAACAUAAUUGUGGUUUCCUCAUUGGGAUUGGAAAUUUGGAAUAGCUGGCAGCUGAGUUCUGUUAAAAAAAACAAAGGAAAGGAAAUAGGAUCCCAAUGUUAAAUUGUGAUCAUACAUCCUUGGGAUAGAUGGACCGAGGGUGAGAGUGUCUGGAAAAUUGCAUGUGGUUCUGAUAAAUGUUGUGCUAUUAUUUAUAGGAUUUUGUUUGUCCAUGGACACUAUAAUUUAGAUGUAGGCUUAUUCCUUCUGCUUCAAAGCUAGUCCUAUUUAAGUUUGUGGAUUAUGACAUGCUGAUAAGUUUUGUAGGCAUUAUUUAAAGCCAGAUUUGAGCAAGCUCUUGAAUCACAGAAGUUAAACAUCAAGAAAAUAGAGCAGCAGCUCCGUCGAAUGGGUAUAAACCCAGAGGAUCCAGUUGCCAUGGCUAGCAUCCAGAGAGUGGCUUCCACAUUCUUCAAUGCUAUUGACAAGAAGGAAGGAAGUCCUUAUGUCUUUCAAGGGGACCAACAGCCAGUAGUGCAUCUGAUUGAUAAUUUGGAACAUCCAGAACCCCUUGCUGAUAGUGACCAGGAGGACUUGGACAAGUUUAUAGCUGAAAUAGAGGAUGCAGCAGAUAGAGAGUGGGCUGCAGAGGAAGCUGCAGAGAAAGAAGAAUUGAGCAAGAUUAGGUAUUGGAAUAAAGAAGAUUUUGGUGGAAGGAUUAGAAGAUCAGAAAUGCAUAGAAAUGAAGUUUCUGAUGGAAGGCGCUGGAAGGGUGUGCAUGAGAAGAAGAGUGCUGAUAGAGAUGAUGAUAGUGACAUGUCUGAGGACAAUGGUCAGUGGGAUUCUGAUGAUGUUGGUGAUGAUCUUGGGAGUGAUGCUGAUGAUUCCAAUGAAGCUCACCGUGUUCACAGUAGAACUAGAGAUUUUCACAGGAAACUCGAUGGGGUUGGUAAAGUCUAUAAUUUUAAGGGUUCCAGAAGAAAUGCAGGGGCUAAAUUUGAAGAAAAAUUAGUUGAAGAAUGUUCUGAAUCGGAGAAUAUGUUAAGUGACCUUGACAAUGCAAUAAUGCACGAAUCAGAUUCUGAGGAAGAACGCGAAUUGAGAGAAUCAAGAGAAGAGGCAAGCCACAGCUUUCAGAGCAAGGGACAUAAAUCAGAAGAUAUGUUGAGUGAUCUUGACAAUGCAAUGUGGGAAUCAAAUUCUGAGCAAGAAGAACAUGACUUUAGAGCAUCAAGCACAGAAGCAAGUCACAAUUUCCAGAGCAGCAGUGAUGAAGAAAAGGAUAUUUAUGUUUAUCCCAUGAUCAGAAAUGAGACUGGGGUGGAUGAUCUUGAGAAUGAUACCAAUGAAAAUGGUGAGGUGCUCAAUGAAUUAAAAGCAUCUAAAAUUCCUGGGAGGAAAUUGGAAAGGAUUAGCUCUUUCAGGACAAAUGCUAAAGAUAAUUCUAUGAGAAAGAUGGCGUGGGAAGAUUCUGGAUCUGAAGAUUCGUUUAACAAUUCAGAAGUUGCUGUGUGGGAAUCAGAUACUGAAGAAGAAGAAUUCAGAGCAGGCAAUGAAGGGAAACAUAGUUAUGUGGCCAGAGAUGAAAAUGAGGAUUUUCGCCAGAAGCAGGUAGUGAAUCAUAAAAAGACAUCAAAAGAGGUGGAUGAGAAUUGGGACAGUGAAUAGCUCUGUACUUUGGGGAGUCACAUUUCUUCCAUGUCAAGCCACUCAAGAUGAGUAAAUUAAUCCAUUUUUUUUUUAAUAAUUGAAAGCAGAGUCUAUUUUACUUGAACUUCCCAAUGUCUUGAGAUUUUUGCAUACUUGCAUCUUUUAGGGAAGAAAGCAAUACAGAAGGUGCAGUAGCCUGUGAAAAAAAAAAAAGAAAAACAAAAACAAAAACAAAAACAGAAACAAAAAUACAUAAUCAAUGUGCAAAUGUGCUAUUCGAAAAUUUCAGCUUUUGCAACAUGAAUCAGUAAUAAACUUGCAAAGAAAAUUGAAACAAUAAGCAUUAGAAAAACACUGUUCCAUCCUCUUGUGGAAAUAUACCCAGCCAAAAGUGGGCCAAUAGCUGCUGCUCCAACAGAACCAGUACCAUCUAUAAUUGCAGUGACAGUAGCCAAGGCAUGGGAAUUUCCUCUGAUCAAAUCCUGUGUACCAAGAUCAGCUGCUACAGCCGUAGUGAUUAAUAAGUAAGGGCCAUUCACAAGAAAACCAGAAAGAAGCAUCAACGCAACGUUCAUUAUCAUAGACAGGCUCCCAUAAACCCGGUACAAAAUAAAGGCUGGAAUUGAUAGCAGCAAGAAUACAAUUGAAGUAACUGCACGAGCCUCAAUCAUAUCAGAUAUAUAUCCAGCUGAAAUUCCUCCGAAGACUCCUUCAAUGUCAAAUACUGUAGAGAGCAUUCCAGCAGUUUUGUGUGACAAAUGC